CAUUCCUUUAACUUAGUCCAGAGAGGCUAAAAAGGUACACGGCAAUAUUUUUCUGCUGCAAUGCCUCUUACUCGGUAAGAGGCUGUUCUGUGU
rfam:Propionispora sp. 2/2-37 isolate 2/2-37 genome assembly, contig: 2/2_contig32